rnacentral:misc_RNA from 1 species
UCAGCACAUAACUGCAUUGCUAGCAGAUACAAAAUCUUGGAAAUCAUUGAAAUUGAAAUGCAGUUCCAAGCUUGAUGUUUGUAGUAAUAGAGGGUACCUUGAGUUUUCGGAGCAGUCGAUAUUGUCAAAUCUUUAUUGGGGGAUAGAGAGUAUAGAAGCAGCACUUCAAGCAAAAUGGAGUCAAGAGAGAACAUCAAGGCUGCAGAAUUCAGAGAUUAUGCUUCAAGUGCCAGCUUCACUUGAUGAACAUGGAGAAACAGCAGGAAUUCCAAACAGUUAUUUGACAGGCUACUCAUACUUUUACCUCUCUGUUGUUAGAAAACUCCAAGGGGAUGAGUGGCAGGUUGCUAUGCAUUUUCUCCAAGCUCUUGCGGUUUCUCCUAGGCUUCUUCAUACUGAAAUUGCUACCGAACUCUGCAGACAGUUAUCGGUCUUAUGCAUUGAGAAGGAACCAUAUUCCAAAGAUGAGAAUGAAGUCUAUGCUAUGAUGGUAAAGAUGGCCAGGAGAUACAAAGCUUGGCUUAUGUAUUAUCAAAUUAUGUCUUCUGGAGAAGACGGCUCUCUGAGGAAUGGUGAGUCCAGCAGCGUGACUUCAACUCAACAUGAAUUACAACAGAUAAUGAGUAAGAAGUCCAGAAGCACAAGAUCUUCAGAUUCAUGUAAGAAUGAAAACACGCAGUGCAGCUCUUCAAAUUUUGAGAAGGUGCAUCCAUUUAAUGCCAAAAAUGAUGCUAAGAACGAGAAAGAGGAGACAAUUAUCACAUCCAAUGAGUGCACAAAGGAAAAACAGGUAGCUAUUACUGAACUGAGUGGUGUAGCAGAAAUACCCAAGAACAUAACCACCAAAUGCCUCAAAGAUAUAUUGCUUGAUUCAGAGUCAGAGACAUUUGAUUUCAGCAGCAGCAGUUCUGCAAGUGAAAAUUUUCAUGAGGAAUAUGCAGAAGACAUGGAAAUCACUUCAAAACGGAGCCUACAAAAUCAGCAAACAGAGGAUUUUUAUCAGAACCAAAAAUCUUCUCGCUCCUCACUGUUUUUGGAAAGCUUGGUUUGUAAAUCGCAAGUUUCAGGACUAAGACACAACGAAG